CGGCAGGGUCAGAUUCUGGAAACCUUUGUGAACCAUGCUGAGGAGGUUGUUCUUUGCUCCCAAAGGAAUACUUUAACAAGAGACACAGAGGAAUAAAUACAAUUUCCCAUUGAGCACUGAGUGCUCUGGCUAAAGAGUGGCCAUUUACAGGGUGGGCAGAGGACCUGAGAGCCCAGCGAGGAGCCAGUCACAGUCUAAGAAUGGCAGGUGGGGCUCGGCCCCCUAAAGGAGGUAUGGUGCAGAUAAAGGCAGGCAUAUUCAAAAUGUCUUAACUAAAAAAGGGCUCAUAUGUCGACUCCAUACUUUGCCCUUAGCUUUGAAAUUUAGAUGUGUGGAUGUAACAUUUGAUCAAACGUAAAGAUUGUUGUCUAUUUAAUUUUCUAGUUGGAAGUCCUUGUGGCUCUGAGCAUCUGAGGAAAUGAUAGGAGGACAUGAAGCUGUUUCUCCGAUAGACUGCAUAAAAAUCUCAUUAAUUUUGAACACAAGAGACCAGACAAUGGAUUUGAAGUUAAUUAGAUUUGCAAUACAUGAAAAUAUUGCUCAGAAAUACAGGACAUCUUGUUGGCCGAGGAAUCCCCGUUUAUUCUAUUAAUCAAUAUAAUGUUUAAGUCACAUUCCAUAGAUGAGAGGACAAUGAUGAGCAAGACAUGAAGAGAUGUGCUCUGUUUUUUCUUCCACGUUUUUUAAUCAAGAAGAGCAGAGCCACCGAAGAAUUCUUAAAAUAUAUACGUAAUUAAUACAUUCAUAACCCCAUGAAGAAAAUGUUUUAAUCCCCCGUAAUCUUACUAUCCUCACAUAACAACUAUUUUAAGUUCUUUAUAUUCAUAUAAAACUUACAAUUUUCAGGAUGCUUGAUUUUUGUGCAAUUGUAAUCGUGUCGCAGAGAAGGUUUGGUGAGAAUCAAACUUUUUAAACUUGAAUUCAGGUAAUCGGGAAUAGAAUCAUUCCUUAGAUCUCACUUUAAGUGGGUAGAAUAAUAAUACCAAAUAUUAUAGUGCUUUCUAGUAAAUGUAUAUAAAUAAUGAAAUUUUGCACACACAGUUAUGAAUAAAUCGUGUUAAUCUUAAGAUGUGUCCAUUUCCUGCUAGCAAUCUUUUUUGCUUAAUGCUCUGCACUGCAUAUUUUUAUAAAUAUGUGGUCCAUACAUGGGCUUCAGAGACACUGUGAAAAAUGUGAAUUUGUCUAUGAAUUUUUGCAAGGUUGUCUGUAUGCUAUUUUUUCCCCUGGGAGAAAGAUCAGUGUUUUAUCAGUUUCUCAAAAGAGGCUAUGACCCCUAAUCUCUUAUGCACUAUUGCACCCAGAAUGAAGCCCAAACUUCUUAGGUAAUGUAUUCAACACCUCCACACCUCUGCACAGGCACGUGCACACACACUGUGCUCAUUGCUGUAAUCUGUUUCUCAUUUCUCAUCUCCUCUUCCUUCGUUCUGGCUCCUUUGUAGCUUUAAAAAAAUUCUCUCUGUUCCCCCAAAAGGUUAUGAUUUUCACAAAAGGCAUGUUUCAGAGUUUUAACAAAUGAUUCCCCUAGCCUGGUAAAAAUGCUUUCUCUUUGGGGAUACCAUCCUCAGCUUCCUUCAACAGAGGUCCAUCCUCUGCUGCCUAUGAGACAGCACUUAUCCAUGGGGACAUGGCUUGGGUGGAGUCUUAUUCUACCAGGGAGCUGUUUCCACAGCUACUGUAGUGCCUUAGGGACUAUAGUUGCUUAAUCCAUAUUUGUGGAAGAGAGAAAGGAUCUAACUAGAUGGUCAUGGUCACCAUCCUCUAAGUGUUUUUACUGAAAUGUACAUCCCCUUUCCCUACCCGUUAUUCAGCACAAUCAGCAGAGCCUACCUCUACCUUUGUAAAAUGACGAAGGGCAAAUGGAGGGCAAUUGGAAAGCCUUCUUACCUUCGAGAGUCCAAGCCACAUUGCAUCUCCUGACCACUCC
rnacentral:lncRNA from 1 species